CUCAACUUGAGGAAAUAGUUCAAGAAGAUCCAUCCACAUCUAUUAUAGAGAUUGUUGAAAAAUGUUGUGGGCCACAAAAUCGUAGACAUGUUUUUGGAUUUGUGGGUGGAGUAAAGGCGAAUGAUUUGAAAGGUGGGACUUCUUCAAAGGCUGAAAUAUUGUCCACUCUACAUUUAACUCGAGAUGAUAACAAAUUCUUGAAUGAGGAAAACAAAUCCUUGAAUGAUCGCUUGUCUACAUUUGAAGAUACGAUGAAAGAAACAUUGAAAAUGAAAGAACUCUUUGCUGCUCAACAAUCAAAUGUCUCACCAACAAUAUCAUCUCUUCCAACAUAAUGACAAUCGAUUUUCUAUUUGACAAUAAGAUGCGAUGAAAGAAAUAUUCAAAAUGAAAGAACUCUUUGCUUCUCAACAAUCAGAUGUCGCACCAACAAUAUCAUCUCUUCAACAGAAUGACAAUCAUUUUUCUAUUGACAAUAUUAUGUUGAUGUUUCUUAAUAACACUCGGGAUCAUUAUCGAAGAUUGCAAAGUCGAUGCCUAUCUUGUGGAUCGCUUGAAGGUCUUUCUAACUUGGGGAUUUACUUUAAGGUAUCUCCAUACGUCUCAAGAGGUGAAAUUAUAUGAUGAUGGAGGGUGCAACGUUUACUUUCCCUGAGGAUAUUCAAUUUCAGAAAGUACACAGUCCUUUAUCAACAGAGUAUUAUGAUCUAUAAGACUAUGAUACUGACAUCAAAGGGUACAAAAAUGCGGCACUAUUUGAGAAAGGUAUUUCAACAUUCAAGUAAGGCAUGGACACUAUGGAGCGAAAAGAACGAAAAAGGCUGAAAAGAACAAAAAAAACAUAAUUUUGAUAAUUUCCAAGUAAACUUGGCACAUCUCCAAAGGGACAUACAAUGUCCUUUGUUCCAGCACGCUCAGCCCUAAAGGAAGAGUAUCAAUUCGGUGGAUAAAAGAGCAGUCGGCACGCUGCUAAAUAGUUCCGUACAACAGUACCAUAUACCCCAAUGGUGUAGGACAUGAAGAUGUUGCGAGAAAGAACAAAAAGGACAUGAACUAGAAGAUGGACGAGUGGCCUAGUCAUUUGGUGACCUCGGCUAACAUUGUUGAACGAUCCAUCGCAGAAGAAAAUGUAAAACUAAGCAUACUAAUUUUAUUUGUGAAUUAGAGAGUCUGAACAUUAUUCUAGUUUGUAGAGUUUCAUAUUUUCUGUCAAGUUUGAAGAAGUUUUUUUGAAGACUUCUACAAGGAAGAAUUUCAUCUUCCCCGGAUGGGAAGUGGGUCUUCUUAAUACUUCUUCCUUCUCAUAAAUCAAAACUGGUAUUUUUAUACCCAUUUGAUUUUAAAUUAAUUAAAAGUAUAAUUUCUUA